rnacentral:lncRNA from 1 species
UGAAGGUCUGCAGCUUUACUCUUGAAGCUUAGCGAGACCACUAACCCACCAGAAGGAAGAAACUCCGGACACGCCGCCUUUAAGAACUGUAAUACUCAGUGCGAGGGUUCACGGCUUCAUUCUUGAGAAAGACAACGAGGAGGGAGCAGCUAGAGGGGUGGAAAUGGGAUCACGUGACCUUGCGAGAAGCAGGGAGAGAGAACACUGCGUCUGCUCCCUUUUAGAACAGCUCAAUAUAGGGAAUCCCUAACAGAGGACUUCCAGGAUAUCCUAGGGACAGCAGAGCCUCAAGAUCCAGGGAGGAUCCUGGAUACCUGAGUCACCACUUGGAGGGGAAUCUCCUGGAAGAACUGAUUGAUCAGCAACAUCUACAUUCAACUUGAGCCUAAAUCAGCAUCCAGCGGCCUUGAGGAAAAAGACUGAGG